rnacentral:lncRNA from 1 species
ACGGCGCCUGCGGCGUGCAUAGGUCCAUACGUACCAUGGGAGCAGGGUGCUGCUGGCCUGGGGAGGGGGAAGGUGGAGUUUGGCUCUAUUCUCGGGCUCCUCCUUCCGUUUUCGUUUUCUGGCGUACUUGGCCUGUCACUAAGAGGUACAUUAAUGGCCAGAGUGAGCCGGCGUCCGAAGCUCCCUGCUUGGGAGGAGGAGGGUACAUUGCAGGGCUUGAAGUACUGGGAAGAAAGUCUGAAGUAACUGCAAAGUUAACAAAUCUUUCCUGCAAUCAUCAUUUGGCCCUGUUUGAAUCACCAGUUGUAACUAUCACUUGAUGAUUUGAUAUCUGAAGUAAAGCAAGUUAAUCAUUUAAAAAUAUUUCUGCAUAAAAUUUAUCAUGUUUAUCACCAGUCUAACAAAAACCAAACUGACCUAGAAAUGGUAGCUAAAGAACCUAAAAUUGAAGUGAUUAAAAUUGCUGGAAUACUGGGAUGAGACAGAUGGAUGGUAUGUGGAUUGCAAGCUGCUGCUGCUGCUGCUGUGUGGCAUACAGAGCCUGCGUUAUACAUACAUUUUCUUCAUUCUGAUUCUGCUUUUGCAGAGAAGUUAACUAACAUUGAUUUCUUGUAAGACUUUGUUCUAAUGAAUUAUCCUUCUUGAAGAAUUUUCAUUACUUUCAACUGCAGCAUUUCAUUUGCAGUCAAGAUCCAGUAACAUUCAGAAAGCACAAAAAUUAAUCAAGAGAUCUGGAAACAUAAAGAGCUAUACCAUACGUUAAGAGCUCUGGAAAACUUCAAUUGGUACUGGAAAGCACGGAUCUCAAGUUGAAAAUUUGGUAAAGUCAAAUAAGUUUACAGACAUUCCUUUAACAAAGAGGAUAAGCUACUUGGCCUUAUGAAGAACUAACUUCACUAUGGAUUGCUAGUAAUGUGUGUGUGUGCGCGUGCGCACACGCAUAAUCUAAGUGAAAUUUUAAAACAUGAAAUUGAUUUGCAUGAUUUUUGAGGUUUUGUAAAUAAUUUAAAUAAAAAAAUGUUCCAGGUCCUACA